ensembl:lncRNA
AUGAAAUCAUCAUGUGACUUCACAGGAAAUUUGAUCACAGGCUCAGGUGGAAUAAGUCAUAGUUUCCUCUGGGUGCCCAGCCCUGUUCAUGCUGGCUGUGGCUUCAGGACACUGCCCCUCCAGGAGAAACUGCAAGAGAAAACUGUUCAGGAACAUCUUCAGGUUAGAUCCUCCUCCUACAUUUCAUCUCCUGAAUUCUCCAGUGGUUCUCAAUAUAUCCCUGACAUCACAUCUGCAAAUCUGUCUGUUUUCUGUGAGAAAAUUUAAGAACCAAAGGUCAGUACCUAGCUUAUUCUAGAUUGACUUGUGAUUCUAAGAAUGUCCUACACAUAGGACUCAAACCAGUGACCUGAUGGUUUGGCCAUAUGUAUGGUCAAGCUGCAUCCUGACCACACAUAUGUACGGUUUGUUCCACUCAGUCUGGGUGUACAGACGUGCAUACAUACCUGUAUAUUUAAUAUGAAUUCAUGGCCAGAAUUUUAAAAUUAGGAAGAAAUUUUUUUCCUAAUUUCUGAUUCUUCCUUUAAAAUGAAAUUAAAAGGAUCAGUAACACUGACCUCAAAUUCCCAAAAUAUAACAAUUGGCUGAAAUCUUCAGGUAGCAGCUUCUGCCUUGAGGUGGGUCUGGGCCCACCAUCUCCACAAUCCACAAAGUGGUUGGUAUAAGCAGUUCCCUCCUACUAAGACAAUAAUUUAAUGAGAUACAGGAAACAAGGGACAAUGAAAUUCUCUGCACUUGUGAUGCAGAGGAAAGCAUUCUUUUAGAAAGGGUCAUCAGGAGCAUGGGGAACCUAACUCUGGUGCAGAGAAGGGACACCUAUUUUUAGUGAUGUUACAUCAUUUUCAUUAGUUAUUGUGGAUGGACUUGAAUGGCUCCUUCAGUUGUUGCCAUGGAAACCAUGAACUAGUGAGCAUUGUCUAGCAGCCUGGGUCAUGUGACUUUAAAAAGAAAGAAACUUUUGAAAAUACCUAACUAAAGAAUUUCUGGAAUGAGAAGCAGGCAGGAUAAAGUAUUCAAGGUGCUUAUGAAUUCCAUCUGAGAAGCACAGGCUAAUGGGAAAUCCCAACUGAGGCCGAGUGGGUGAACCCUCAUCCCUUCCUGUUUAGCUCAAAUGCCUGCUAGGACUGCAGCGAGGACCUCAGAGCUCAAGCCUCAGGUCUUCCUAGGCUAAGUGAUUGCAAGGAGAUAAAGGAGCUUUUGUCCUCAUCUUAGCUUCACACGAUCUGGUUACAGGCUCCUGCGCCCUCUCCUCUGCUAUAGGGAACAUCCGCUUAUGUAAAAAUAUCAUCAACAAAGCAUCACAAAGACUUUCUUGUCUGCUGAAGUGGAACAGAGACAGCAGGCUUCACCCCCAAAUUCAACUUCGCUUCCACGUUCUUGCUCAAAUCAUUAACUCUCCAAUUAAACUCAGGUCUGGAAAACAGGGCCACAAAGUCCUCUGAAACACUGAAGCCAGAAACAAAUGAACAAGGCUUAAGAGUCCGAGGACACAGGAUUCCAGGAGAGACAAAUAUAGAAGCUCUCGGAGCCAAAAAAUUCACUGUAUCUCCUGAGUGAUUUAUUUUACAAUUUAGACAAGUUUUAGGAUAAAGAAUUUUAAAACUCAUUUAUUUUUAGGUAAACCUCUCUCCUU